rnacentral:lncRNA from 1 species
UGCCGUUGUUCAUCAUCUCAAUAUCGUGUUAUAAUUCCCUUCAUUUGUCUUUGGAAAUCAUUACUUUUACUGUUUAGUCUAUUUUUGAUAAUAUCCAUUUGACGAGGCUCGGUUUUUUUACCGUCGUUUUAUUUUGCUAUGGUAAAAAUUUUCUGUUCUUGUCUUUCGUUUUUGCUUAGGUGUUAUGUCUUUAUGCCUCUUUUCUUCUUCUUUGAUAUAAUUCUUUUUAAUAUAAUAGUGAUUAAGAUUAUAACACAAUGUUGACUACUAUACCCCGAAUUUUGA